rnacentral:tRNA from 1 species
UGGAUCACCUCCUAACAGGGAGACAACAAAAUGUUUAAUAUUAUUAUUUUGUCACCUUAGGUCGAUCGGUAUCUCACAUUCUUAAUUUAUUAAGAAUUUCACUUCCUAAGUUUUUCUAGGUCACACCCAUUAUUUUCCUGGGCCAUUAGCUCAGGUGGUUAGAGCGCACCCCUGAUAAGGGUGAGGUCCCUGGUUCAAGUCCAGGAUGGCCCAUAUCUCUAUGUUGGGGGUAUAGCUCAGUUGGUAGAGCGCCUGCUUUGCAAGCAGGAUGUCAGCGGUUCGAGUCCGCUUACCUCCACUGAUUACCACCUCUUCCAUAAUCUGUAGAAAGGAAAAUUUUUUGUGUUGUGAUCAUAAUUCUGAACGAAUCUAGCUUCCUAAUGAAACUAUUAAGAUGCUGGACUCAUUGAAUUAAUUUCAUUGUUUUCAGAGAACCUUGACAACUGCAUAGAUUAUUUUUAAAGACAAUAAGCAUCUUUAAUGAUGCAGAUUUAUUAUUUGUGCAAAUGCAUUAAUAACAAUUCUAUUAAGCUGAUGCUUCAAUUUUGAAGUUAUUGGUCAAGCUACAAAGGGCUCACGGAGGAUACCUAGGCACACAGAGGCGAUGAAGG